GACGGGGACCCGCACAAGCGGUGGAUGAUGUGGAUUAAUUCGAUGCAACGCGAAGAACCUUACCUACCCUUGACAUGUCCGGAACUUGCCAGAGAUGGCUUGGUGCCCGAAAGGGAAUCGGAACACAGGUGCUGCAUGGCUGUCGUCAGCUCGUGUCGUGAGAUGUUGGGUUAAGUCCCGCAACGAGCGCAACCCUUAUCAUUAGUUGCUACGCAAGGGCACUCUAAUGAGACUGCCGGUGACAAACCGGAGGAAGGUGGGGAUGACGUCAAGUCCUCAUGGCCCUUAUGGGUAGGGCUUCACGCGUCAUACAAUGGUCGGUACAGAGGGUUGCCAAGCCGCGAGGCGGGGCCAAUCCCUUAAAGCCGAUCGUAGUCCGGAUCGUAGUCUGCAACUCGACUACGUGAAGUCGGAAUCGCUAGUAAUCGCAGAUCAGCGUGCUGCGGUGAAUACGUUCCCGGGUCUU
rnacentral:rRNA from 1 species